GGACAGUCAAGACACGAGACCCUGGGUUCAGCAAAUGUUUGCAGCGCCUUGCACUGUGCUGGGAACUAGGGAUGCAAAGAAAUGGACCUUCUUCAUUUGUCAAAACACUUCUGCGUGUACAUCAUUAAACCCUCAUCCACAUUAAACCCGGCUGAGCUUCCUGGGGCCCGAACCAGGAUGUCUGCCGCUGCAUUCAGCUUCUUACUAGAAGAAAAUACUGUCGGGGGGAUAACUAAGCCAGACACCCUACUAGGCGUUGUUUCAUGAAUCCUUCUAAGAAUUAUUAUUAUUCCAUUUUACAGGUGAGAAAAUGAAGGCACAGAGAAGACAAUGUUCUCAAGGUCGCAUAACUGGUCUUUGGAUCAACUCUUUCAACCAAUUGCCAGUUGGAAAAUCUUUGAAUUCACCUAUGACCUGGAAGCUCCUAGUUUGAGUUGUCCUGCUUUUCCGGACCAAAACAAUGUACGUCUUACAUGUAUUGACUGAUGUCUUCUGUCUCCCUAAAACAUAUGAAACCAAGUCGUGUCCUGAACUACUUUGGGCACAUGCUCUCAGGAUCUCCUGAGGCUGUGUCAUGGACAUGUCCCUAACCUUGGCAAAAUAAACUUCUAAACUGAUGAAGACUUGUCUCAAAUACCUUUUGGUUUACAGCCCUGACAAUAUUUCGGGAAGGAAGAAACUCCUUCUUGGAUGUGACGCACAUAAUGAAAUCUUCUAUUUAAACUAGUGUAAAACUUAAUUGAGUUGAUCCAGUACUAUCCAAUAGAAAUAAAUUACAAGCCAUAUAGAAAUUUAAAAAUUUCUAGUAGACACA
rnacentral:lncRNA from 10 species